rnacentral:rRNA from 1 species
UAGGGAAUCUUCCGCAAUGGGGGGAACCCUGACCGAGCAACGCCGCGUGAGUGAAGAAGGUUUUCGGAUCGUAAAGCUCUGUUGUUAAGGAAGAACGAGUGUGAGAAUGGAAAGUUCAUACUGUGACGGUACUUAACCAGAAAGGGACGGCUAACUACGUGCCAGCAGCCGCGGUAAUACGUAGGUCCCGAGCGUUGUCCGGAUUUAUUGGGCGUAAAGCGAGCGCAGGCGGUUAGAUAAGUCUGAAGUUAAAGGCAGUGGCUCAACCAUUGUAGGCUUUGGAAACUGUUUAACUUGAGUGCAGAAGGGGAGAGUGGAAUUCCAUGUGUAGCGGUGAAAUGCGUAGAUAUAUGGAGGAACACCGGUGGCGAAAGCGGCUCUCUGGUCUGUAACUGACGCUGAGGCUCGAAAGCGUGGGGAGCGAACAGG